rnacentral:rRNA from 1 species
UACCAGCACCCCGAGUGGUCGGGACGAUUAUUGGGCCUAAAGCAUCCGUAGCCGGUCCUGCAAGUCUUCCGUUAAAUCCAGCUGCUCAACAGAUGGGCCGCGGGAGAUACUACAGGGCUAGGAGGCGGGAGAGGCAAGCGGUACUUUAUGGGUAGGGGUAAAAUCCGCUGAUCCAUAGAAGACCACCAGUGGCGAAGGCGGCUUGCCAGAACGCGCUCGACGGUGAGGGAUGAAAGCUGGGGGAGCAAACCGG